UACGUAGGGUGCGAGCGUUAAUCGGAAUUACUGGGCGUAAAGGGCUCGUAGGCGGCCAACUAAGUCAGACGUGAAAUCCCUCGGCUUAACCGGGGAACUGCGUCUGAUACUGGAUGGCUUGAGUUUGGGAGAGGGAUGCGGAAUUCCAGGUGUAGCGGUGAAAUGCGUAGAUAUCUGGAGGAACACCGGUGGCGAAGGCGGCAUCCUGGACCAACACUGACGCUGAGGAGCGAAAAGCCAGGGGAGCAAACGGG
rnacentral:rRNA from 1 species